rnacentral:rRNA from 1 species
GCGAACGGGAUUAGAUACCCUGGUAGUCCACGCUGUAAACGAUGUCGAUUUGGAGGUUGUGCCCUUGAGGCGUGGCUUCCGGAGCUAACGCGUUAAAUCGACCGCCUGGGGAGUACGGCCGCAAGGUUAAAACUCAAAUGAAUUGACGGGGGCCCGCACAAGCGGUGGAGCAUGUGGUUUAAUUCGAUGCAACGCGAAGAACCUUACCUACUCUUGACAUCCAGAGAACUUAGCAGAGAUGCUUUGGUGCCUUCGGGAACUCUGAGACAGGUGCUGCAUGGCUGUCGUCAGCUCGUGUUGUGAAAUGUUGGGUUAAGUCCCGCAACGAGCGCAACCCUUAUCCUUUGUUGCCAGCGGUUCGGCCGGGAACUCAAAGGAGACUGCCAGUGAUAAACUGGAGGAAGGUGGGGAUGACGUCAAGUCAUCAUGGCCCUUACGAGUAGGGCUACACACGUGCUACAAUGGCAUAUACAAAGAGAAGCGACCUCGCGAGAGCAAGCGGACCUCAUAAAGUAUGUCGUAGUCCGGAUUGGAGUCUGCAACUCGACUCCAUGAAGUCGGAAUCGCUAGUAAUCGUAGAUCAGAAUGCUACGGUGAAUACGUUCCCGGGCCUUGUACACACCGCCCGUCACACCAUGGGAAGUGGGUUGCAAAAGAAGUAGGUAGCUUAACCUUCGGGAGGGCGCUUACCACUUUGUGAUUCAUGACUGGGG